rnacentral:lncRNA from 1 species
ACGGGGUCAAGAAAAUGCACUUUAAAAUAAAAACAACAGAAAUGUCGUUCUUUUAUCAAAAGAUUUUGUAAAUCUACACGUCAAAGCGUGCAUUUUACAGUUCGUGUAACGUUAUAGGAUUUUCCGGUUGCUUCCAUUUACGGUUUGGGAACGUUUGUAUCCGUACAGCUAUAGAAUUUUCCGACACGUUCUAUUCAGGCCAUUUGGUGCCGAGUUCGAAUAGGCGGUAAGCGCGAGCCCAGGCACUGUCAGGCCCACUCACAUGACUGUCAGAGAGUAAUAGGCCGCGAUUCGAGCUAAGCUGGUCAAACCGUACACCCCUAAAACAACAUUAAUAGCGACUCUGCAUGGCUGACCGCGUCGCCCGAAUUGUAUUACCAAAGUAUUCGGGUUUGUACGAGAAAUGGGCAGCGGUGAAGUUUUGUGAGAUUUGGCCGUCCAUCAUGGCGGACAGGAAAUAACAGAACAAGCUUAAGCUACGAGCAGGAACAUUCCACAGGAGCCGGUUCAUGUUGCUGUGGCAGCAACGGGGCAGAGCUAACAGGCUAUUCUGGAUCUCUGACGGCCGCGUUCCUUUUAAAAACGAGCCAAACUGAGAGAUGGAACAGAAGCAGCCAGUGCUGUGAGUCAGGGGACGAAGAGAAAGAUCAGCCCAAGCCCAUCCUCCUCUGACAAGACACAACACCCAUCUUUAACAUAACCUCAUCAAACCUCUAACAAGCUAACAAGGGUGAGUGCAGAUCAGGAGGCAUGUGUCAACAAUGAACUGUUUUACUCUUUUUACAAGGGACAAGGAGGUUCCAGACAUUUCCAUUACACCGUUACAUGUGCCCGCAGCGAUCACAGCAUAUCGUUUGGGAACCCCCUAUACUGUAAAUGCAGUAUAGCUAAUCAAAACAGACUAAGAAAGGCUGGAAGCCUUGCUAAGCCUUUUGUUGUAUUGAAAUGAAUGCACUUAGCCAAAGGAAGGAUUUUGAUGUUAUUUUGUAUUUCUUGUACCGUUAAAGCUUCAAGAAUGUAUAUGAGCAUGCUUGACAUGAUGUUGUAAAUGCAUUUUUCCAGCCUUGAUCCUGCAGAAAGAAUUGCAAUUAGUUGAGAGCGGA